CCUACGGGUGGCUGCAGUGGGGAAUAUUGCACAAUGGGGGAAACCCUGAUGCAGCGACGCCGCGUGAGUGAAGAAGUAUUUCGGUAUGUAAAGCCCUAUCAGCAGGGAAGAAAAUGACGGUACCUGACUAAGAAACCCCGGCUAACUACGUGCCAGCAGCCGCGGUAAUACGUAGGGGGCAAGCGUUAUCCGGAUUUACUGGGUGUAAAGGGAGCGUAGACGGCCAUGCAAGUCAGAAGUGAAAACCCACGGCUUAACUGCGGGAGUGCUUUUGAAACUGUUUGGCUGGAGUGCAGGAGAGGUAAGUGGAAUUCCUAGUGUAGCGGUGAAAUGCGUAGAUAUUAGGAGGAACACCAGUGGCGAAGGCGACUUACUAGACUGUAACUGACGUUGAGGCUCGAAAGCGUGGGGAGCAAACAGGAUUAGAUACCCCAGUAGUC
rnacentral:rRNA from 1 species